AGGAGUUUAUCUCGACUGAGUAGCUUCCCCGCCACUCCUCUAAAAUCCCUCCUCAAAAACCCCAAGUUAAAAAAAAAAAAGAUCUAUUCUUGUAGAUUUUUUUUGUGUGGGUCUAUGUUUCAUUCAUCUGCUUUCAGGCUGGAUUUAUAACAAGCAGAACUUUUAAAACGGUAUGAUUUUAAAAUAAAAUUAAAAAAAAAACACGCUGAGAUCUUUCCAUAGCUUUGGCUUCUGGGAGUUGAAAGCGCAGGUACGUGCUACAUCUUCUGGAAACCUAACCCUCGCACGCCAAGCGGGAGGCUCUUUUGGUCAAAUACUCCCAGGACUUAUGCUUGAGUUCUGAAAUAAGUGAAAGCAGAUGCCAUUCCUGUGCGACAUAGCUAACUGACCGCAGCCCAGAAAGUUCUGUUGGCUAGCUGUGUGGGGGCUGUCUUAAGCCCUGAAAACAUUCUGCAUCAGAACUCAGCUUCAGAAAGGGGUUCCUGCUCUCCUGUCUGCCCUGGAGAUAGUCACGCAUGACAGCUUGUGGGCUGACUGAGCAUUUAGGCAGCUGCUUUUCCUCUCUCCCUCCAGGAGGAAAAUAGAGCAAAAAGGUAGAACUUACUUCCACACCCAAGUUUCUCCUGAAAGCACUGUGCCUGUUUUGUUUGCUACACAUCUUGGCUUCAGGAAAAAGAGGACCUUAGAACUGAAGGAGCAAGAUUCCAACAUCACACUGUUUUUGUUAGCUGUGUGUGUGUGUUUCCUGUGUAUCCAAAAGACAGAGGAGAUGAAAAAGCAAAAGAAAAGAAACGAGGAAUCAGAUUGGAAAGAAGGUUUCUCCAGGACGUCACCUGUAUGAGGUACACAGUGUGAUGACACACUCUGUGCUUUUCCUACUUGUGUCCACGGCUCAAGCCUGGAAGAAGCCUUAGGACGUGGGGGAAAUGUCUAACGUGGAGUCCACCUGCUGAGCAGGACCGGGUGUGAAGGAAGAAGCUUUGUUCUGAUUCCUCAUGGCCCAGCCACCCCUCGCCUGAGCUGAGCCUGGCCACAGGGCCCGCCUGCAGGAAGGGCUGGCCCAUGGCUUCACACUGGGCUCAGGCUGCGCUAAGAGCCCCGGGUGAGGACCUCCAAGCCCAGGAAGCCUCAGUUGGCCAAAGUGCUAGAUGCGUGUGGUCUGCUUUCAUCCCCGCUUCCCUCAGAGCUUGCAUUUUCCAAAUUCAAGAGAGGCUCCACCUUCAAGAAGACCGGCCUGUCCCUGUUAUUUAUGUGUCCCCCUACCAUAUCUCCCUUUGUUCUGCAGAGCGGUACGCAUAAAAAGCUUUUGGGGA
rnacentral:lncRNA from 1 species